rnacentral:misc_RNA from 1 species
GAAAGAAAUCUUGCAGAUAUGUCAUCCCCGGCUGAAGUAGAAAAGUAUUGUGAAGAGAACAAGAUUCAAAGCGCCCUUCCAAAGAUCAUAAAGACUGGGUUCUCGGCGAUCAAUCUUAUAUACUUCUUCACUGCUGGUCCUGAUGAGGUGAAAUGCUGGCAAAUUAGACGACAGACAAAGGCUCCUCAAGCUGCAGGGACAAUUCAUACUGAUUUUGAGAGAGGGUUCAUUUGUGCUGAGGUCAUGAAAUUUGAGGAUCUCAAGGAACAUGGAAGUGAGACGGCAGUCAAGGCUGCUGGAAAAUACAAACAAGAGGGAAAAACUUACGUGGUCCAAGAUGGAGAUAUUAUAUUCUUCAAAUUUAAUGUUUCAGGUGGUGGCAAAAAAUGAGUCCCAUAUAACGUAAUGUCGAC